rnacentral:tRNA from 1 species
GGGGAUGUAGCUCAGUGGUAGAGUGCUUGCCUAGCAUGUGUGAAGCCCUGAGUUCCAUCCCCA